rnacentral:rRNA from 1 species
GAUGAACGCUGGCGGCGUGCCUAAUACAUGCAAGUCGAGCGAACAGACGAGGAGCUUGCUCCUCUGACGUUAGCGGCGGACGGGUGAGUAACACGUGGAUAACCUACCUAUAAGACUGGGAUAACUUCGGGAAACCGGAGCUAAUACCGGAUAAUAUAUUGAACCGCAUGGUUCAAUAGUGAAAGACGGUUUUGCUGUCACUUAUAGAUGGAUCCGCGCCGCAUUAGCUAGUUGGUAAGGUAACGGCUUACCAAGGCAAUGAUGCGUAGCCGACCUGAGAGGGUGAUAGGCCACACUGGAACGGAGACACGGUCAAGACUCCUACGGGAGGCAGCAGUAGGGAAUCUUCCGCAAUGGACGAAAGCCUGACGGAGCAACGCCGCGUGAGUGAUGAAGGUCUUCGGAUCGUAAAACUCUGUUAUUAGGGAAGAACAAAUGUGUAAGUAACUAUGCACGUCUUGACGGUACCUAAUCAGAAAGCCACGGCUAACUACGUG